CACGUAGGGGGCAAGCGUUGUCCGGAAUCAUUGGGCGUAAAGAGCUCGUAGGCGGCUCAGUAAGUCGGGUGUGAAACCCUCAGGCUCAACCUGGGGACGCCACCCGAUACUGCUGUGGCUAGAGUCCAGUAGGGGAGUGUGGAAUUCCCGGUGUAGCGGUGAAAUGCGCAGAUAUCGGAAGGAACAUCAGUGGCGAAAGCGGCUUCCUGGACCAGCACCGACGUUCAGGCACGAAAGCGUGGGGAGCAAACAGG
rnacentral:rRNA from 1 species